GCCUACGGGGCGCAGCAGUGGGGGAUAUUGCACAAUGGGGGAAACCCUGAUGCAGCGACGCCGCGUGAGUGAAGAAGUAUUUCGGUAUGUAAAGCUCUAUCGGCAGGGAAGAAAAAGCGCGCGAGCGCCCUUGACAGUACCUGACUAAGAAGCCCCGGCUAACUACGUGCCAGCAGCCGCGGUAAUACGUAGGGGGCAAGCGUUAUCCGGGUUUACUGGGUGUAAAGGGAGCGUAGGCGGCCAUGCAAGUCAGAAGAGAAAACCCGGGGCUCAACCCUGGGAGGGCUUUUGAAACUGUGCGGCUU
rnacentral:rRNA from 1 species